rnacentral:rRNA from 1 species
UUGAGAGCGGCGGACGGGUGAGUAAUGCCUAGGAAUCUGCCUGGUAGUGGGGGAUAACGCUCGGAAACGGACGCUAAUACCGCAUACGUCCUACGGGAGAAAGCAGGGGACCUUCGGGCCUUGCGCUAUCAGAUGAGCCUAGGUCGGAUUAGCUAGUUGGUGAGGUAAUGGCUCACCAAGGCGACGAUCCGUAACUGGUCUGAGAGGAUGAUCAGUCACACUGGAACUGAGACACGGUCCAGACUCCUACGGGAGGCAGCAGUGGGGAAUAUUGGACAAUGGGCGAAAGCCUGAUCCAGCCAUGCCGCGUGUGUGAAGAAGGUCUUCGGAUUGUAAAGCACUUUAAGUUGGGAGGAAGGGCAUUAACCUAAUACGUUGGUGUCUUGACGUUACCGACAGAAUAAGCACCGGCUAACUCUGUGCCAGCAGCCGCGGUAAUACAGAGGGUGCAAGCGUUAAUCGGAAUUACUGGGCGUAAAGCGCGCGUAGGUGGUUUGUUAAGUUGGAUGUGAAAUCCCCGGGCUCAACCUGGGAACUGCAUUCAAAACUGACAAGCUAGAGUAUGGUAGAGGGUGGUGGAAUUUCCUGUGUAGCGGUGAAAUGCGUAGAUAUAGGAAGGAACACCAGUGGCGAAGGCGACCACCUGGACUGAUACUGACACU